rnacentral:tRNA from 1 species
AUUCUUUUAGUAUAAUCAGUACAGCCGACUUCCAAUCAGCUAGUUUCGAUAGUAUCGAAAAAGAAUA